rnacentral:rRNA from 1 species
CCUACGGGGGGCUGCAGUGGGGAAUAUUGGACAAUGGGGGGAACCCUGAUCCAGCCAUGCCGCGUGUGUGAAGAAGGCCCUCGGGUUGUAAAGCACUUUCAGUGAGGAAGAACGCCUGGUGGUUAAUACCCAUCAGGAAAGACAUCACUCACAGAAGAAGCACCGGCUAACUCCGUGCCAGCAGCCGCGGUAAUACGGAGGGUGCGAGCGUUAAUCGGAAUUACUGGGCGUAAAGCGCGCGUAGGUGGCUUGAUAAGCCGGUUGUGAAAGCCCCGGGCUCAACCUGGGAACGGCAUCCGGAACUGUCAAGCUAGAGUGCAGGAGAGGAAGGUAGAAUUCCCGGUGUAGCGGUGAAAUGCGUAGAGAUCGGGAGGAAUACCAGUGGCGAAGGCGGCCUUCUGGACUGACACUGACACUGAGGUGCGAAAGCGUGGGUAGCAAACAGGCUUAGAUACCCUUGUAGUC